GUGCUCGCUUCAGCAGCACAUAUAUACUAAAAUUGGAAUGAUACAGAGAAGAUUAGCAUGGCCCCUGCGCAAAGAUGACACACAAAUUCAUGAAGCAUUCCAUAUUUUU
ensembl:snRNA U6 U6 spliceosomal RNA